AAAGCAAAUGUAGUUGAUUUUUUUUUCUUGAACUAUAAACAUCUGGAUACACGUCAAUAUAGCAAUACAAAGAUUUGGAAGAUCAGGCUGAUUAAAAAUCACCUUUCACAGAUUACCCACAGUGAGCUGUUCUGAGGAUGUCCCAGUCUAGAGAAACCUCUACCUGCUCCCUAAAGCUCAAGUCCAUGUUAGGAUUUGUCAAAAGCAGAAUUAGGAGUUUUAAGAGUGUUCUCACUGGUAUUUCUACAGAGGGGAACUUUAUCAUUGACUGCUGUAUUGCAGCCUCCCUCCUUGGGCCCUGUUGAUACAUUUAGAUGUGCAAGUGUAUCUGCUACAGACUUCAAGUCUGCUUGUGGAUUUUCCUCUUAUUCUCAUUGUUCCCUUUAAGCUUUGAAAUGCCAUGACUCCCAGAUUCAAUAUCUAUCUCCUGUGAAUGAUGGUUGCCCCGAGGUACUUAAGUAUCUUGAUACUAAUUUGAGCCUAGAAAAAUGUGAUUAUCGACUGAAUUAUGCCCCCCCCCCUUAUUUUGAGACGGUUUCUUUGUUUACCAGUCGUGGCUAUCCUGGAACUCACUUUGUAGACCAGGCUGGCCUCAAACUCAUCCAUCUGCCUCCACCUCCCAAGUACUGGGAUGAAAGCUGUGCACCACCACCACCACCACCCACCACCGCCCAAUGACUGCAUUACGUUUUAUGUUAACAGUACUUAACUUCAUUGGUAUAGCCGUGUUAUUUGGACCUUGCACAUACUAAAGAAUUGUUUUAUCCGCGAGCCAUAUAUCCAGCCCUCUAAAUUGUUUUUUUUACAUAUAUUUAUGUGUAUAAGUGUGACCUGCAUGUAUGUAAUGUAUGUGUGCCCAUGGAGAAGAGGGUAUUGGAUCCCCUGGAACUGGAUUACAAAUGGUUGUGAGCUGUCAUGUGGGUGCCAGGCACUAAACUUGGGUUCCCUGCAAGGGCAACAAGAACACAUAACCACUGAACCACCUCUAGUACGUCCCUUCCCCCCAUCCAAAACAUUUUGAGUAGAGGAUAGAGGUUUAAAAAAAAAAGCCUACCUAAUGUUUGGGAAACUUCCCUGUGAUUCUAGCUUGUGAUGCUCAAGCUUGGUUACUACAAUUUGUUCCUGUUCUACUAUUCUCCAUCCUUGGCAUCCACGGCAGUGGAAUGUACUAGGUAAGGAAGCAAUAUGAGAGUAGUACUGCUUUAUGGGGCAUGGAGUGGUAUCAAAGUUAAUUUUAGCAAUGAUAAGUGAUAGAAAGACAUUUUUCUUUCCUUGGUUCCUAACUUUCUGUGUGCAAGCUGCUAGUGUCUAAAAUACUUCAGCAUAGGUCUGAGAAAAGAUGUGUUUUCAGAGUUAACGUCAGAAAUGACACCAAUUCAGUAAAUUAGUUGAACUCACAUUGCUGAGCUUGAACCAAAUGCUAGGAUACAAUGUCAUGGAAUGAAUGGAAGCAGCCUCCUUGAGCUAUGGUGGCCUGAUGGAGGUCACUUGGUGGGUAAAGGAUUAAAACAUGGGUUAUGGAACCAAGAUUCUAAAUUUAGAUUCUAAUCUGCAUCUGAUUACUGUGUGACUUUGGACAUGUUACCAAACCUCAUCUUUUCUUGACUCAUGAGCUUAGGGGUGCUCAGAAUCUGAUACAUCAGAAACUACCAAAUGUAGCUCUUGUUUUCAUAGAGAAGUACUAGAGCUUAGAGUAUGAUUGUGACACAAAACCCUAUUGGGGGCAAGAAUAUUUGUGAAAAAAGCCAGCCUCUUCCCCCAACACCAUGUAAGCCAGGUAUGGGGCACACUCAGUUCCAGGCCAGCCAGGUAAGGUUAUGAAACAAACUAAACCAAAAGGGAUGGUUCAAUAACAAUUCUUUUUGUUAGUGCUGUGGAAACCUCAUUAGAUAACACCUGGAGAUACCUUUGACUCACCGCUGGGAGGAUCCAUCUAGUUAGUACAGUCCAAGGAUAGAACUAAGAAGCCAUCUCAUAGAAUCACCCAACUUAAAACAUGCAGCUGAAGCCUGAACUACCUCUUUACCUCCUCAGCAGCACUGUGAAGCAGGCUGUGAACUAAACUGUUUGAGCUUCUGGGCACCCGUGGUCUUUCCCGUGUUUACCCACCACUUCACUUGUGCUGCUAAGCCUCCAUAGAUGUGGCUGCCCACUAGAGGGUGACCACAUACUUAAGCCUGAACUUACUCCUGCUGAUCUGUUUCUCCCUGUUAACAGUGAGCCACGUGCCACACGAAGCCAGAAUCCCAAUAUCUCAAUUAUGUCCUUUUCCUUCCUCCCCUUUUUGAAUUCAGCCAGUUGCUCAGCACACUAUACCUAUGGACAUAGCUGUUUUCCUGCUAGUGACUGGUUCAAGGCCCCUGCUUUCUUGUUUGAAUAAUGUUUUCUAGUGACUGACUUCCCUAGUCUCCCUUUGCUGCUGCUGUGUCCAGACAUCAUGUUUGGGAUGAGUUACAGCCUGGGGUGUAAUGCCACUGUGUCUUUCAGUUUCCAAUGAACCCUUCCUUUUUGCAGAUUGUGUUCAUUUUGUUUAUCUGAGAUGUCACUGAAAAGAUUCUCCAGGCUUCAGAAGCAACGCAUUGAUUAUAGGUGUUUACCACUCUUGCAGAGGACCUGACUUUGGUUCCCAGCACCAUUUUGGUGGCUCCUGGCCACCUGUAACUCCACCUACAGAAGAUCUGAUACCUUUGGACUUUGGACUCCACAGGCACCUGUCUGUGAUCAGACAGAGUCAGUGUCUGAUCCAAAACUUAAAAAGAGCAGAGGCAGGUGGAUUUGGAGGCCAGCCUGAUCUAUACAGUGAUGUCCAGGCCAGCCAGGGCUAUAUAGUGAGACCCUGUCUUGAUUAAAAAAAAAAAAAAAACAAAAAAAAAACAAAAACCAAUUACUUAGCCAGGUGUGGUAGUGUUCAUCUUUAAUCCCAGUACUCAGGAGGCAGAGGCAGGUGGUCAAGCCAGGACAGCCAGGGCUGUUUCACAGAGUAACCCUGUCUUGGACAGAACCAAAACCAAACCAUUUACUUUAUGAGGUGUUAUCAUUAAGCCAUUUUUUUUACUACUUAUUAUGUAUACAAUAUUCUGUCUGUGUAUAUGCCUGCAGGCCAGAAGAGGGCACCAGACUUCAUUACAGAUGGUUGUGAGCUGGGUUGUUAUGUGGUUGCUGGGAAUUGAACUCAGGACCUUUGGAAGAGCAGGCAAUGCUCUUAACCACUGAGCCAUCUCUCCAGCCCCCUAGUUCUUUUUUUUAUUAUUGAUUUUUAUUGAGCUCUACAUUUUUCUCUGCUCCCCUCCCUGCCUCUCCCCUCGUGAAGCCAUUUUUGAAUGAGCAGUGGAGUCAGGAUAAAAGCUGACUGGAGUACUCAAGAGUCCAGUAUUCACUAGAAACAAGUAUAAAAUAAAGAGCUUUUUAGGGCAGGAUUCUACUUUUAUCCUCUGUCUUCUAAGGACUGGAAUGGCAGGCAGGCGCUACCACACCCAGUUUACACAAUAAUCCUGUGGCUAGAACUUGGGGAGCUUUGUGUGUGAAAACAAGCACUCUACCAACUGCCCUACCUCCCCUUCGUUGAGACAGGUUCCUGCCAUGUAGCUCUGGCUAGCCUGAAAGUCAUGUAGACCGGGCUGGCCUUGGACUCACAAGAGCUUCACCUGCAUAUUCCUCUAGAGUGAUGGGAUUAAAGAGGUGUGCCAUCAUGUUUAGCUUAUUUUUUGAUAUAUUUUCAUUCUUUGAGAGUUUCAUAUAUGCAUACAGUGUAUUUUGAUCAUACUUAGCCCCAAUUCUCCCACAACUUUCAUAUCCAUCCCACCUCCUAAUUCCAUGCCAUUCAUUCCAUGUUGUUCACACACACUCUCUGUCUAUGUUAGCCUAUAAAGGCUGAGCCAUCGCUCCAGCUUUUUUUUUUUUUUAAAUCAAUCUGUGUUACCCUUAUACUCAUGGGUGUGGAGCCACCUGGUAGAGCAUGGUCAACCAGAAGGCAUGCAUGCCCUUAAUGCCUCUAACUUAAAAGCCACCAAUCAAGCUGGGUGGUAGUGGCACACGCCUUUAAUCCCAGCACCCAGGAGGCAGAAGCAGGCAGAUUUCUGCUAGUUUGAGGCCAGCCUGAUCUACAAGAGCUAGUUCCGGAACAGGCCCCAAAGCUACAGAGAAACCCUGUCUCAAAAAACAAAACAAAACAAAAAAGCAAAAAAAACAAAAACAAAAACAAAAAAAACAACCCAAUCAUCAGUCAAGCAGAGCUCCUCUCUCCAUACUGAAUGUUAAUGGGUUUGAUCAUGUAUUUUAAAUUAAAAACAUACCUUGAGCCUUUAUUGAAAUUCAGUUAAAUGAAACAUUUUGAAAAUUGGACAUUUAGUUCAUGGAGCUUUAUCUAGUUUCUUUUGAAAAUCUUUUGUUCCAACUUGAGCAAGUUUCCUGAUGUAGGCCUGUGAGAUGACUCAGCAGAUAGAGGUGCUUGCUGCCAACCUGAGUUCCAUUCCUAUGACACAGAGUAGGAGGCAACUAACUCAUAGGCUGGCCUCUGACCUCCACAUGUGUAUCAUGACAUGCACAUGCCCACCUACAUACACACAAAUGCAAUGAAAGUUCCUAAUGUCUUCUAACCUACCUUUCUGCCUCAGAAAGUUGAUCUGUCUUAAUUAUGAACUUUAAAUAAAGCUGGGAGGUGGUGGCACACACUUUUAAUCCCAGCACUUGGAAAGCAUAGGCAGUUGGGCCAGCUUGGUCUACAUAGCAAGUUCCAGGACAGCCAGGGAUACACAGAGACAACCUGUCUUGAGAAACAAAACAACCCUCCUCCCUCAAACAAUAACAAAAAGAACCCAUAAAAAAACCCCAACAACAACCGAAAAAACAAAAUAACAAAAAACUUACAACAGAAAACUUAAUAAAGAUUAUUUUAUGUGUGCUUUGCCUGCAUGUUAUGUGUGCCCAGUGCCCACAGAGGCCAGAAGAUUCCUGGAACUGGAGUUAUAGAUGGUUGUGAGCUGUCCAAGUAGAUGCUGGCAACCAAAUCUGGGUUCUCUGCAGGAGCAGCAAGUGCUGAGCCACCCUUCCAGCCCUUUAAAUCUAAAACAAAAUACACUGUUUUGUUUUUAAAGAUAAGGUCUUGGGCUGGAGAGAUGGCUCAGUGGUUAAGAGCAUUGCCUGCUCUUCCAAAGGUCCUGAGUUCAAUUCCCAGCACCCACAUGGUGGCUCACAACCAUCUGUAAUGAGGUCUGGUGCCCUCUUCUGGCCUUCAGGCAUACACGCAGAAAGAAUAUUGUAUACAUAAUAAAUAAAUAAAUAUUAAAAAAAAAGAUAAGGUCUCCUUAUAUAGUCCAGGCUGACUGCUUCAAAUGCCCAAGUUUUAGGAUUACAAGUGUGUGCAACUAUGUCUGGAUAGAGCAGUUCUUAUAAACUACCUAAAUGGACAAGUUACUGUGUUAAGGAAUACUUGGAAGCAGUAAAGCCCUGUUUCUAAAUGCUGGUAACACUGCUACUUAAGUAGACUGAAACAUAAAUAGUUCUUUCUGGAUUGCUUGACCAGAAGUGUUUUUGGUUUUCCUCUUUUUUUUUUUUUUUUUUUUUUUGGAGACAGGGUUUCUUUAUGUAGCUUUGGAGCCUGUCCUGGAACUCACUCUGUAGACCAGGCUGGCCUUCCGAGUGCUUGUUUAAAGGCGUGUGCCACCACCCCCUGGCCCAAAGGUGUUUUUAAAAUUAUUUAUUGUGUGUGCAUGAUGGGUAUGUGUGUGUGAAGUCACGUGUGGAGGCCAGAGGACAGCUUAGUGAAGUUGGUUCUCUUCACCUUUAUGUAUGUUUGGGGAUCAAACUCAGGUCUAUAGAUCUUAACAAGCACCUUUACCUGCUGAUUCAUCUUGCUGCCCUUCCCCAAUAUUUAAUUUGGAUGUGUAGCUCUCUGGGUGUAUGUGCGUGUUUAUGAGCGCCUAUGCCUGUGUAUGUGAAAACCAGAAAAGGCUGCUAGUGUCCUCUUCCAUUACUUUCUACUUCUUUCUGUGAGACAGUCUCUCAGAAACUGGGGCUCAGUUUUCUCACCUUGGCUAAAAGCCAGCAACCCAGUUCGGAGCUGGGGUUACAGGUAUUUUUGGGAACAUUUGUCUUAUUGUGUGGGUGCUGGGAUCCUAAUUUAUUUUGUUGUAGAGAAUGCAAGAAUGCUAACUAUAAAUAGUUGCGUAGCCUGCUUUCCUCAUCUACAUUUGUGCAGGCGGACCGUGGUCUUUGUGGUCACUAUUGGUUGGAUGUCCAUGCUCUUCAGUUCUGAGCAUCUGUCCUCAGGCCAUGCUUAUCUGCAGUGUAUGCAGCCUUAGGCCCGGGAUCCCUACUGGCUGCUGACUGAAGCUGGAGGUAGACUAAGAUACAAAGGCAACCUAUGACUGAAAUGGGGAAGAAUUUGGAGUGCCUUUUGGAAGGCUGUGUUCUGGGCUGGGGUUACAUGCAAGAUUGAAACAAGGUUCUCUGCUUUUGAGAAGCCCACAAUCUAGUGCUAAGAUGAGCAAGUAGGUCCGUCUGUUUUCAUCACGUGCCAGGUUCUGCUGGAAACAUCACAGACGCCAUCGCACACAUUUAAUGUCAGUGCUGCCGCCUGUGCUCUGGGACUGCUGAUGACGGCUGACAAACUCUCUUCUGGUAGAGGUUGAGUAAGUGUGGCCACGGUCACAGAAGCUGUAGAACAGCCACCGCUUUUAUUACAAACAACAGGCCAAAAGACUUUAGUUAUAUACAUAUUGUUCUUUAAAUCUUAAAAUAGCUUGGUGUGGCAGAGGUUUUGUUGUGGAGGGGAUACUGAGGCUUGGAGACCCAGGAUCACACUAGUAAGUGGUGGAACAAAGAUUUGAAUUUAGUCUUGCCUAACUCCAAAUUUUCUUGUGUGUAAUGUUACAGACUCCAAUUCUACCCAGAAUAGUCAUAGCUACCAUUCCCUGUAGCCGGAUGCCAACUGUUUGCCCGUACCAUCUCUGAGCUUCACAGUGACUCGGGAAGGUAGUUACCAGGAUCUUCUGAAACUGAGCUGGAGGAGUCAGGGAAUCAUGGAACGAUAGGAAACGGUGCAACUCUGGAGGACUAGUUCACAUCACCUCCUGGACUGGACAUUUCCUGCGUACCCUUCCUUCCUCUCUGUGCUCCAGGAAGCUAACCUGAUGGGCCACAUCAGGGCACUCCCUGGUCUUCUGGAGGUCAAAACGUGUCAUCACCAGGCUGCUGAGGGUAUGAAGAAGCUGGAUGUGUGCUUCUAGUAGCUUGCUUUCAGGGUUUACUGAUGGUCUAACAGAUGUUUGCUCAUGGCAAAGGAACUUGUCUCUAUUCUCAUGCAGAACAAGAUUUAAAAUGGAUAGCUUCACACAGGAAUCAUUAGUUCUGGUGUCAUUUAGAAGGGUAAAGCUAUUUACCACACAAUCGUCAAAGUGCACAGCACAAUUAAAUCAAGGAUGAACAGGGCAAAGUGUUGUUCGUUCAAUCUUACCAUCACUAGCUGGCUUCACCAAGUCAAGCAUCUGGCACAACAGAUCAUGGAAUGGCAAAGGCUCAAUGCCCAUGGCUUCCAUUCGUUCACACUGCUCUUCGUAGAAGUACUCCAGCUCAUACAUGGAAAGUAUACCGUCUCCAUCCACAUCCAUGCAGCGGAACCAAUACUCAAUGCUAGAAGAACCUUCAUCUGGAGAUGGAUGGAGAUAGAGACAGAGACCCACACUGGAGCACUGGACUGAGCUCCCAAUGUCCCAAGGAGGAGCAGAAGGAGGGAAAAUAUGAGCAAAGAAGUCAGGACCACGAGGGGUGCACCCACCCACGGAGACAGUGGGACUGAUCUAUUGUGAGCUCACCAAGGCCAGCUGGACUGUGACUGAAAAAGCAUGGGAUAAAACCGGACUCUCUGAAUAUGGCGGACAAUGAGGGCUGCUGAGAAGCCAAGGACAAUGCCACUGGGUUUUGAUCCUACUUCAUGUUCUGGCUUUGUGGGAGCCUAGCCAGUUUGGAUGUCCACCUUCCUAGACCAGGAUGGAGCGGGGAGGACUUUGGACUUUCCACAGGGCAGGGAACCCUGACUGCCCCUCAGACUGGAGAGGGAGG